GGCUGUCCAGGUAGGUGUCCUGGGCAGACUCGGUGCUGCUCUGGACCGUGACGGAGAUGAACGGCUUCGAUGUGGUGCGUGGAGGGACCGGUGGCGGGGUCUUCUUAUACGCCACUAGGCAUGAUGAACCUGCAGAUGGUGUGGAACUGUUCUGUGAAAGCUGGAUUCGGGAAGCCAGGGUUGAUGUCCCAGGCCCACCUCCAGCCCCAGCCCUGCCCCAGAAGGACAGGAAUUUCAAAGGCAGUAGCUCUCCACCUGGGGCCACACCCAGGUGAGGCUGACUUUACCGGGGAACCCGUGGAACUGGCUCUCCCCCACGCAGGGGCAGGCCGGGCCAGAAGGCCACCCUGGUCUGCAGCCUGGAGCCUCUCCCUGCGGGGUCCCACCUGGCCCCCACCCUGGCCGGGCCUCCAGAACAAGGGAAGAGGCCUGCUCCUCUCUUAGUGAGGCCUAGUGAGGUCCCCCGGGGCCCACCCCAGCCUGGGCUGGGUCUGAAGCGGCUGCUUCCUGCUUUACCUUUUUCUUUCACUUUGGUUUUUAACCCGAAAGUGAAACUAAAGACUGGGAUGAUGUGGGAAAGAUGGUGAGAGUUAAGGCCUGAACACCUGGCUUCUCAUCCCAGUGAGGCUGCUGACUCGCUGGGAAACGUGGGAGGAGGCCCUCAACCCCCUGCCUCGGUCUCUCCGUUGAUAAAAUAGGAGGGAGGAACUCGGCUAAUGCUUUAAAGUGUCAUUAAAUUCGAAAAAUGAUAGAACGUCCCCUUCCUCAUCCCUGCCACCACUGAGGACUAAAAAGGAGCUGCAGAAAUGACCAGAGCGGGACCCAAAAGGGCCUUCCUGUUGGCUUGGAGGACGAGGCAAACUCUGGCCACUGUGUGGAGACCUUCCUGGUCUCUCUGACUACCUCUCCCCAACCUGUCAACUCAACUCCUUUAUCCUGAGCAGCCCCUGGGGCAGAGCAAAUUCAGGAAGACCCCAGGGACGAGCCUGACCUGGUCUUAGCACAGCAAGAGGAGCCACCAACAGCUGCCUGAAAACUCCCCGCCUGAGGGCCGACCAGGCCAUCUGCUAAGACCCAGGACUAAGACAGCAUCCCCCCCAGGACUGGUCCAAACUUCACUCUCCGCUGACCCCAGGGUGCCUGACACAGUCUAGCUAAGACCACUGUAAUCUGUUUUAUGGUGUUUUCCCACUGGCUGGUUUACCAAAUCUCCCCUCUAGGCUGGUGACAUGAGAGAGGCAGGGAUGAGCCUCCCUGCCUCUCAGAUGAGGAAAACUGAGGCUCGGAAAGGCACAGGGACAUUGUGGCCAAGCCAGCACAGGAUUCAGGAGCUCAGUAAAUAUCUGCGGGAUGAUUGAGCUUGAUGGCCCAGCCGUUGCCAAGCAGGUGCGGCACACACCAGAGAAGCACAGGAAGGAGGACACCGUGUAUGUGCGUGCGUGCGUGCGUGCGUGCGUGUGUGUGUGUGUGUGUGUGUGUGUGUAUGGGGGGGGCAUACCUCCCUGGAGACCAAGUCACAAACAGGUCCCCAGGUACCUGUAACAGAAUCCCCUCCCCCCAGUCCUGGCUCCACUCCUGAUAUCCCUCCAGCCCAUUUCUUCCCUUCAUCCCUCACUUCCUCCCAUCUGCACCUUACUCUGGAGAGAUCUCAUUGGCUGAGGGCUUCUGAGCGAAGACUGGCCAGCCUCCUCCCCUUCUCUGGGCUGGAUUAGUACUGUCAGUACUUAACCAAGGAAAGGAAUUUGAAUCCAGGGGUGGGGGCAAGGUGCUUUUAAAAAUAUAUACACCUUGGGUUUCCCUGGUGGCACAGAGGUUAAGAAUCCGCCUGCCAAUGCAGGGGACAUGGGUUCGAGCCCUGGUCGGGGAAGAUCCCACAUGCCACUGAGCAACUAAGCCCAUGUGCCACACCUACUGAGCCUGCGCUCUAGAGCCCGUGAGCCACAACUACUAAGCCCCUGUGCCUAGAGCCUGUGCUCUGCAACAAGAGAAGCCACCGCAAUGAGAAGCCCACGCAUUGCAACGAAGAGUAGUCCCCGCUCGCCGCAACUAGAGAAAAGCCCUUGUGCAGCAAUGAAGACCCAACGCAGACAAAAAUGAAUAAAUAAAAUUUUUAAAAAAUUAAAAAAAAUCAGUAGCCCUGAAAAAAAUAUAUACACCUCAUUUUUUUUGCGGUACGCAGGCCUCUCACUGUUGUGGCCUCUUCCAUUGCGGAGCACAGGCUCCGGAUGCGCAGGCUCAGCGGCCAUGGCUCACGGGCCCAGCUGCUCCGCGGCAUGUGGGAUCUUCCCAGACUGGGGCAUGAACCCAUGUCCCAUGCAUCGGCAGGCGGACUCUCAACCACUGUGCCACCAGGGAAGCCCUACACCUUAUUUUUGUUAAAGGAGGCAAGAAUAUACAAUGGAGAAAACACAGCCUCUUCAAUAAGUGGUGCUGGGAAAACUGGACAGCUACAUGUAAAAGAAUGAAAUUAGAACACUCCCUAACACCAUACACAAAAAUAAACUCAAAAUGGAUUAAAGACCUAAAUGUAAAACCAGACACUAUAAAACUCUUAGAGGAAAACAUAGGCAGAACACUCUAUGACAUAAAUCACAGCAAGAUCCUUUUUCACCCACCCCCUAGAGAAAUGGAAAUAAAAACAAAAAUAAACAAAUGGGACCUAAUGAAACUUAAAAGCUUUUGCACAGCAAAGGAAACCACAAACAAGACAAAAAGACAACCCUCAGAAUGGGAGAAAAUAUUUGCAAGUGAAGCAACUGACAAAGGAUUAAUCUCCAAAAUUUACAAGCAGCUCAUGCAGCUCAAUAUCAAAAGAACAAACAACCCAAUCCAAAAAUGGGCAGAAGACCUAAAUAGACAUUUCUCCAAAGAAGAUAUACAGAUUGCCAACAAACACAUGAAAGGAUGCUCAACAUCACUAAUCAUGAGAGAAAUGCAAAUCAAAACUACAGUGAGGUAUCAUCUCACACCAGUCAGAAUGGCCAUCAUCAAAAAAUCUACAAACAAUAAAUGCUGGAGAGGGUGUGGAGAAAAGGGAACCCUCUUGCACUGUUGGUGGGAAUGUAAAUUGAUACAGCCACUAUGGAGAACAGUAUGGCGGUUCCUUAAAAAACUAAAAA